CAACGUGUAGCUCAGUCAGUAGAGCACCGGGCUCCGGACCCGGAGGGCGCGGGGGCGGGACCCGCCACGUUGGC
rnacentral:tRNA from 1 species